rnacentral:rRNA from 10 species
CAGUGAUAAACUGGAGGAAGGUGGGGAUGACGUCAAGUCAUCAUGGCCCUUACGACCAGGGCUACACACGUGCUACAAUGGCGCAUACAAAGAGAAGCGACCUCGCGAGAGCAAGCGGACCUCAUAAAGUGCGUCGUAGUCCGGAUUGGAGUCUGCAACUCGACUCCAUGAAGUCGGAAUCGCUAGUAAUCGUGGAUCAGAAUGCCACGGUGAAUACGUUCCCGGGCCUUGUACACACCGCCCGUCACACCAUGGGAGUGGGUUGCAAAAGAAGUAGGUAGCUUAACCUUCGGGAGGGCGCUUACCACUUUGUGAUUCAUGACUGGGGUGAAGUCGUAACAAGGUAACCGUAGGGGAACC